UACAUGUGGGGCAAGCGUUGUUCGGAAUUACUGGGCAUAAAGGGCGCGUAGGUGGCUUCUUAAGCGUGCGGUGAAAGCCUGGGGCUCAACCCCGGGUCGGCCGUGCGAACUGGGGGGCUGGAGCACUGUAGAGGCAGGCGGAAUUCCGGGUGUAGCGGUGGAAUGCGUAGAGAUCCGGAAGAACACCGGUGGCGAAGGCGGCCUGCUGGGCAGUUGCUGACACUGAGGAGCGAAAGCGUGGGGAGCGAACAGG
rnacentral:rRNA from 1 species